AGAGUUUGAUCCUGGCUCAGGAUGAACGCUGGCGGCGUGCCUAAUACAUGCAAGUCGAGCGAACAGAUAAGGAGCUUGCUCCUUUGAAGUUAGCGGCGGACGGGUGAGUAACACGUGGGUAACCUACCUAUAAGACUGGGAUAACUUCGGGAAACCGGAGCUAAUACCGGAUAACAUUUAGAACCGCAUGGUUCUAAAGUGAAAGAUGGUUUUGCUAUCACUUAUAGAUGGACCCGCGCCGUAUUAGCUAGUUGGUAAGGUAACGGCUUACCAAGGCGACGAUACGUAGCCGACCUGAGAGGGUGAUCGGCCACACUGGAACUGAGACACGGUCCAGACUCCUACGGGAGGCAGCAGUAGGGAAUCUUCCGCAAUGGGCGAAAGCCUGACGGAGCAACGCCGCGUGAGUGAUGAAGGGUUUCGGCUCGUAAAACUCUGUUAUUAGGGAAGAACAAAUGUGUAAGUAACUGUGCACAUCUUGACGGUACCUAAUCAGAAAGCCACGGCUAACUACGUGCCAGCAGCCGCGGUAAUACGUAGGUGGCAAGCGUUAUCCGGAAUUAUUGGGCGUAAAGCGCGCGUAGGCGGUUUCUUAAGUCUGAUGUGAAAGCCCACGGCUCAACCGUGGAGGGUCAUUGGAAACUGGGAAACUUGAGUGCAGAAGAGGAAAGUGGAAUUCCAUGUGUAGCGGUGAAAUGCGCAGAGAUAUGGAGGAACACCAGUGGCGA
rnacentral:rRNA from 1 species